UUGAUCCUGGCUCAUGAUGAACGCUAGCGGCAGUGCUUAACACAUGCAAGUCGAGGGGUAAGGUCCCGCUUGCGGGAUACACGACCGGCGCACGGGUGCGUAACGCGUAUGCAACCUGCCUCUGACCGGAGGAUAGCCUCGAGAAAUCGGGAUUAAUACUCCAUAACAUCUAACUACCGCAUGGUAGAAUGAUUAAAACUCCGGUGGUCAGAGAUGGGCAUGCGUGGCAUUAGCUAGUUGGUGAGGUAACGGCUCACCAAAGCAACGAUGCCUAGGGGGUCUGAGAGGACGAUCCCCCACACUGGUACUGAGACACGGACCAGACUCCUACGGGAGGCAGCAGUGAGGAAUAUUUGGUCAAUGGGCGCAAGCCUGAACCAGCCAUGCCGCGUGCAGGAUGACGGCUCUAGAAGUUGUAAACUGCUUUUGUAUGGGAAUAAACUGUCCGGUUCUCCGGGCAUUGAAGGUACCAUACGAAUAAGGAUCGGCUAACUCCGUGCCAGCAGCCGCGGUAAUACGGAGGAUCCAAGCGUUAUCCGGAUUUAUUGGGUUUAAAGGGUGUGCAGGCGGAGUAAUAAGUCAGUGGUGAAAUCUUGCGGCUCAACCGUAAAAUUGCCAUUGAUACUGUUAUUCUUGAGUUCAGUUGAGGUGGGCGGAAUGAGUAAUGUAGCGGUGAAAUGCUUAGAUAUUACUCAGAACACCGAUUGCGUAGGCAGCUCGCUAAACUGUGACUGACGCUGAGGCACGAAAGCGUGGGGAGCGAACAGGAUUAGAUACCCUGGUAGUCCACGCCGUAAACUAUGACUACUGGAUGUGUGCGAUACACUGUACCGCGUCUGAGCG
rnacentral:rRNA from 1 species